UCUCCGUUGGUGAACCAGCGGAGGGAUCAUUACCGAGUUUACAACUCCCAAACCCCUGUGAACAUACCUUAAUGUUGCCUCGGCGGAUCAGCCCGCGCCCCGUGAAACGGGACGGCCCGCCAGAGGACCCAAACUCUAAUGUUUCUUAUUGUAACUUCUGAGUAAAACAAACAAAUAAAUCAAAACUUUCAACAACGGAUCUCUUGGUUCUG
rnacentral:misc_RNA from 1 species